AGGACUAUACUUUCAGGGGUCAUUUCUGUAGUUGGUCACUAGAGGAGAGUGAUCACACCUGUAUAGCCAAGUGGC
rnacentral:snoRNA from 1 species